CUGUUUUUAUUUAAAAAUGAUAAGGUUGUGCUUCUGUAUAAAGUUUGUACAUCUAGCAAUGUAAAAUACUGACACAUUAAAAAAAACAAAAAGUAGAAACUCAAUUCUUUUGAUUCAGUGCUCUUGUGUUUUUAAAAAAGGAACAAAAAGUAAUGCAAGACUCAAAAUUUUGGAGUGGUUGGCGUGCCUCUCUUCAUUUUACUUUUUGACUGGCUGCCUGUA
rnacentral:lncRNA from 10 species